GGGCGCAAGCCUGAUCCAGCCAUGCCGCGUGCAGGAUGAAGGCCUUCGGGUUGUAAACUGCUUUUGUACGGAACGAAAAGGUUUGGCCUAAUAAGCUGAGCUCAUGACGGUACCGUAAGAAUAAGCACCGGCUAACUACGUGCCAGCAGCCGCGGUAAUACGUAGGGUGCGAGCGUUAAUCGGAAUUACUGGGCGUAAAGCGUGCGCAGGCGGUUAUGUAAGACAGAUGUGAAAUCCCCGGGCUCAACCUGGGAACUGCAUUAGUGACUGCAUAGCUGGAGUACGGCAGAGGGGGAUGGAAUUCCGCGUGUAGCAGUGAAAUGCGUAGAUAUGCGGAGGAACACCGAUGGCGAAGGCAAUCCCCUGGGCCUGUACUGACGCUCAUGCACGAAAGCGUGGGGAGCAAACAGGAUUAGAUACCCUGGUAGUCCACGCCCUAAACGAUGUCAACUGGUUGUUGGGUCUUCACUGACUCAGUAACG
rnacentral:rRNA from 1 species